UACGGAGGAUCCGAGCGUUGUCCGGAUUUAUUGGGUUUAAAGGGUGCGUAGGCGGUUUGAUAAGUUAGAGGUGAAAUGUCGGGGCUCAACCCCGAAACUGCCUCUAAUACUGUUGGACUAGAGAAUAGUUGCGGUAGGCGGAAUGUAUGGUGUAGCGGUGAAAUGCUUAGAGAUCAUACAGAACACCGAUUGCGAAGGCAGCUUACCAAACUAUAUCUGACGUUGAGGCACGAAAGCGUGGGUAGCAAACAGG
rnacentral:rRNA from 1 species